UACAGAGGGGGCGAGCGUUGUUCGGAAUUACUGGGCGUAAAGCGCGCGUAGGCGGACCUGCAAGUCGGGGGUGAAAGCCCGAGGCUCAACCUCGGAACUGCCUUCGAUACUGCGGGUCUCGAGUCCGGGAGAGGUGAGUGGAAUUCCUAGUGUAGAGGUGAAAUUCGUAGAUAUUAGGAAGAACACCAGUGGCGAAGGCGGCUCACUGGCCCGGUACUGACGCUGAGGCGCGAAAGCUAGGGGAGCAAACGGG
rnacentral:rRNA from 1 species